UGAGAAACUGCCACAGUCAAGAGGAAUCUAAGGAGACAUGACAACCGAAUGUGAUGUGAUAUUCUGGAUGGAAUCCUGAAACAGAAAAAGGACAUAAGGAAAGCUCAACAAAGAAGCUCAAGGAUUCAAAGAAGAGAUUACAGGACAACACCAGGAAACAAAAGGCAAGCUGGCUGUGC
rnacentral:lncRNA from 1 species